rnacentral:rRNA from 1 species
AAGUAACUCCCUGCCCAGUGAAUUUCAUUUUUAACGGCCGCGGUAUCCUAACCGUGCAAAGGUAGCAUAAUCAUUUGCCCAUUAAUUGUGGGCUAGAAUGAAAGGAAUAACGAAAUAACAGCUGUCUCUAUAAAUUAAACAAAAAUUAUCAUCUAACUGAAGAUUGUUAGAUAAAAUUGAAGGACAAGAAGACCCUAUAGAGCUUUAUUUUAAUUUGUCACACAUUACAUAUAUAAAUUCGGUUGGGGCGACCAGGGAACAAUUAUCAUCCCUAUAACCAAGAUUUAUUAAUCUAUUUAUAUGACCCUUCUAAGAUCUAAAAAACAAGCUACCUUAGGGAUAACAGGCUAAUCCUACUUAAGAGUCCUUAUCUAUAGUAGGGAUUGGCACCUCGAUGUUGGCUUAGGGAAUCUAUAUAACGCAAAAGCUAUAUAAAGAUGGUUUGUUCAACCAAUAACACCCUACGU